GGAAUCUUGCGCAAUGGGGGAAACCCUGACGCAGCAACGCCGCGUGAGUGAGGAAGGCCUUCGGGUCGUAAAGCUCUGUCAGGUGGGAAGAAAACGAUGAAGGAGAAUAUCCUCCAUUUUUGACGGUACCACCAGAGGAAGCACCGGCCAACUCCGUGCCAGCAGCCGCGGUAAUACGGGGGGUGCAAGCGUUGUUCGGAAUCAUUGGGCGUAAAGAGCGUGUAGGCGGCCAGGUCAGUCAGAUGUGAAAGCCCUGGGCUCAACCCAGGAAGUGCAUUUGAAACUGCUUGGCUAGAGUAAGGGAGAGGAAAGUGGAAUUCCUGGUGUAGAGGUGAAAUUCGUAGAUAUCAGGAGGAACACCGGUGGCGAAGGCGACUUUCUGGCCCUAUACUGACGCUCAGGCGCGAAAGCGUGGGGAGCAAACAGGAUUAGA
rnacentral:rRNA from 1 species